CUGUCUCUUCUGGGGCUUGAAAAGGACUCUGGCCUCCACCUUGAAACCGUUUCUCACGAUGGUUAUGCGCGAUCCACCCAACAGGAAUUUCGUUUUGCCAGGUUUGCGAAACCAAAGCACAGCGAUUCCUCCAACACGACGUAUCCAACUUGAAGAUUUCUCAGAGUGAAGUACACGGAUGUGACAUCUUUUCUGCUGAAGAUCUCGUAAACUUUCAUCGUCCGAUCUCUAGAACAUAAAACCGGUGAUAAUAAAUACCAAGGCAGAUGUAACGAUCCAGGGAAUGGCAAGCUUAUGCACCUCAUCUCUUUGCUCUCGUAGUAAGGGUUAUUGACUAUAGGUCUUCCCGUCGAGAGCAUUAAGUUUGCCAUCAAAGACAUCUUGCCGGCGAACACAGCGUGUUCUGGCGUGUUCUUCUUGAUCCACUCGAACAGUUCCUCUUGCUCGAUGUCGCUGUACUCGCCUUAUUACAUAUAUCAUAUUUUUAUAUGAUGAAAGAUUAGAUAAUAAAGAGCUUGUUUAUUAACCUUCGGA